rnacentral:rRNA from 1 species
AUGUGUGCGAACUGGCCACAUUCACAAUCAAAUUCCUCACCACUUCUCCCGCAGCUCUUCCUCGGUAUGAAUUGUAAUAUACAUUUUUCCUUUCUCGAUCUCUUCCAUCUGGUAUGCUCCACACUCAUAUACUAUAUGGCAAAACUGCUUGAACAUAGUUCGUGUGUAGAUUUUGCCAGCAUGUCUUUUAGUUGCGAUGUUUGCUCACGUAAGCGGUCUCUCCUGCAAACAAAAUUAUCACUGAUUGGCUCACAUCAUGGUCCAUGUCAAACAUAUUCAGUUAACUCCACUACGAACUUUCUCAUAGUGAGCUGGAAAGAUAUUUAA